GACGAACGCUGGCGGCGUGCUUAACACAUGCAAGUCGAACGGUGACGGAGAGCUUGCUCUCCUGAUCAGUGGCGAACGGGUGAGUAACACGUGGGCAACCAGCCCAGACUUCGGGAUAACGCUUCGAAAGAGGUGCUAAUACCGGAUACGAGCUCCUUGGGCAUCCUUGGAGUUGGAAAAGUUUUUCGGUCUGGGAUGGGCCCGCGGCCUAUCAGCUAGUUGGUGAGGUAACGGCUCACCAAGGCGACGACGGGUAGCCGGCCUGAGAGGGCGACCGGCCACACUGGGACUGAGACACGGCCCAGACUCCUACGGAGGCAGCAGUGGGGAAUAUUGCGCAAUGGGCGAAAGCCUGACGCAGCAACGCCGCGUGAGGGAUGACGGCCUCGGUGUAACGUACUUCUAGCAGG
rnacentral:rRNA from 1 species